ACCUUUUGAUUACACACAUUUUGAUGACACACUCCUGUCACUUUUAAAGUAUGUUGUUGUGUAAUUGUCCUUCUUUUUCUGUCCACAGUUGUCUACAUGUAAUUAUUUUAAAAUGUAACAUUUUUUGUCAUUCACACAGAUUUGCUUUAAGGUAAGUGCUAAGGUCAACAUGCUCACAUGAUCUCGUUAACCUGCCGAUGCGUCACAGAAAGCAGGGAACACCGAGCACACGCUAACGUUACUUUCAAGUAAUGUUAUACAAAAAAUGUUUUAAGUUCAUAAGAGUGUCCAUUAAUUUAAUUAAUUGCACACCCGUGAGGAGACAAACCCUGUGGUUGAUUAGAACUUAUGUGCAACUGGUGACGUUUUGAGGCCUGCUAGUUAACAGAAGAAGUAAGAAGCUUAACCUGACUGAAAAUGGGUGUUGGAGGAGGAGGAUCAUACAGCAGAAUGUGUUUAGUCACUUGCAUCAGAGGAUGUCCAAAUUGACUGAUCAACCUCUUCAUUUAAAGGACGCACACCAACAGCAGGAUGACAGCUGGACGCAUGGCUGUGACCUUUAUUGUCAGCACUCAACAGCUGGAAUACGACCUGGAAAAGUGACUGAUGAAUAUCCAGAAAAACAUUGUUCAUUUGGAAGCAGUCAACACUCAACAGGCAGAUAUAAGAUCUACAGGACACAUUUUUACGUUCAGCUUCUGUCCGGCCCCACGCAGCCACACAUCAGCUCCAGUGUUUGACUGUCAUUGAGUUAUCUCUCUCUAGACCUCAGAUGUACUCGUUCUGUUCUGUUGUCCUAAAACACA